rnacentral:lncRNA from 1 species
GUCCACCUACCAUUAGAACAACCCAUGCAUGAUGAACUCUGAAGUUUCUAAUGAUCUCUUUCGUUCAGUUUGUUAAAUAGCAGUGGUCUUAAUUGCAUCCGUGGCGUUUCAUCUGGUGGCGAAGUUCUAUUGUUUUGUUGCACAAAAAUAGAUCAAAAAUAUCGAAGCAUGCCACAAUUCCAUAGCUUUUCAGGUGUUUCUUGUUGUCUUUUAAUCUUUAAGGUAGAGCAGGAAUGUACCUGAGUCCGUAUAACAUAGGUGAUAACCACUUGUUUCGCUUG